ACACCCUCAACCUUUCUUGGUUUGAUUGACUGGGAAAGGCUUGGACUUUGGAGGUUUUUUGUUGCUGGUCUCGUUUUGAAGCCAGCUCCUCCUAAAUGAAUUAGUGGGGUCUGCUGUGCCAACCCUCGACGUGAUAAGUAUCCUUCUACGUCUUGGGGUUUUGCACUGUUGCCACUUCUAAUUGUCUUUGCAUAAAGACAACGUUCGAGUUGCUUGUAACUCGACCUCUUAGA
rnacentral:misc_RNA from 1 species